GUAAAUCUAAGUGAUGUACUACGAGGCAAUCACUGGAGCUGUGCUAAAAGUCUGACUGUCUCUGGGUGCUUGAGGCUUAGGUUGUUUUCUUUCAUCUCCUCCUUUGUGUUCACCCAUUUGAAAUCAUCUCCAUUCAGGAGAAAACAAGAUGGAACCCAGUGACUGGCCACCAUGGACACAUGCAAGGGAGAAGGAGAAGUCCCCAGUAGGAAAAGGUGACACGCCUGUCCCCCUUUGUCUUCUGCCAUGAGUGGAAACUUCCUGAGGCCUCACCAGAAGCUGAGCAGAUGCUGGUACCAAACUUGUACAGCCUGUAGAACCAC
rnacentral:lncRNA from 1 species